rnacentral:rRNA from 1 species
GCAUGGCUGGGGGUGGAAAGUUUUUCGGCUUGGGAUGGGCUCGCGGCCUAUCAGCUUGUUGGUGGGGUGAUGGCCUACCAAGGCGACGACGGGUAGCCGGCCUGAGAGGGCGACCGGCCACACUGGGACUGAGACACGGCCCAGACUCCUACGGGAGGCAGCAGUGGGGAAUAUUGCACAAUGGGCGGAAGCCUGAUGCAGCGACGCCGCGUGAGGGAUGACGGCCUUCGGGUUGUAAACCUCUUUCAGCAGGGACGAAGCGAGAGUGACGGUACCUGCAGAAGAAGCACCGGCCAACUACGUGCCAGCAGCCGCGGUAAGACGUAGGGUGCGAGCGUUGUCCGGAUUUAUUGGGCGUAAAGAGCUCGUAGGCGGYUUGUCGCGUCGACCGUGAAAACUUGGGGCUCAACCCCAAGCCUGCGGUCGAUACGGGCAGGCUAGAGUUCGGUAGGGGGAGACUGGAAUUCCUGGUGUAGCGGUGAAAUGCGCAGAUAUCAGGAGGAACACCGGUGGCGAAGGCGGGUCUCUGGGCCGAUACUGACGCUGAGGAGCGAAAGCGUGGGGAGCGAACAGGAUUAGAUACCCUGGUAGUCCACGCUGUAAACGUUGGGCGCUAGGUGUGGGGGACCUCUCCGGUUUCCUGUGCCGCAGCUAACGCAUUAAGCGCCCCGCCUGGGGAGUACGGCCGCAAGGCUAAAACUCAAAGGAAUUGACGGGGGCCCCGCACAAGCGGCGGAGCAUGCGGAUUAAUUCGAUGCAACGCGAAGAACCUUACCUGGGUUUGACAUGGCCGCAAAACUCACAGAGAUGUGAGGUCCUUCCGGGGGGCGGUCACAGGUGGUGCAUGGCUGUCGUCAGCUUCGUGUCGUGAGAUGUUGGGUUAAGUCCCNCAACGARCRCAACCCUCGUUCGAUGUUGCCAGCGCGUUAUGGCGGGGACUCAUCGAAGACUGCCGGGGUCAACUCGGAGGAAGGUGGGGAUGACGUCAAGUCAUCAUGCCCCUUAUGUCCAGGGCUUCACGCAUGCUACAAUGGCCGGUACAAUGGGCUGCGAUACCGCRAGGUGGAGCGAAUCCCAAAAAGCCGGUCUCAGUUCGGAUCGGGGUCUGCAACUCGNCCCCGGGAAGUCGGAGUCG